rnacentral:rRNA from 1 species
ACUCCUACGGGAGGCAGCAGUGGGGAAUAUUGCACAAUGGGCGCAAGCCUGAUGCAGCCAUGCCGCGUGUAUGAAGAAGGCCUUCGGGUUGUAAAGUACUUUCAGCGAGGAGGAAGGCAUUAAGGUUAAUAACCUUAGUGAUUGACGUUACUCGCAGAAGAAGCACCGGCUAACUCCGUGCCAGCAGCCGCGGUAAU